CGAAGAAGAUGGAGUUGUGAUUUCUCAGUUCCGAAUGGCGGCCAUAUUGGAAUUUUCUUUACUGUCGCUAGUUUCACACUACUUGAUUUAUCAUGUUGCAGUAAGCUAAACGAUUUCAUCUCUUACGUGACUUGUUGUUCUUGCAGGUAACUGUGUAACCGUCUGACUGAUAAAGAAGUUGUUAAAUGUCUUUACGUUUAGAAACAUAAUCAAAAAAAAUUCAUCCAAGCAGAUGCGAAUAGCCUACAAUGUCAGUACUCAAACCACCAGUAGCAGGCUUAGGACUAGAGUUUGCCAGUCAGACCACUACACCUUUGCCAGCACCACCACCCAGCAAGCUUCAUCAACUCCAGCCAUGCCGAGUUUACCAAUCAGACCUACACCUCUGUCAAAUUCGCUCACAACGCUGCCAGUAACACCCCAGCAAGGUAGAACUGCAUUUUCAUUAAUCUGGCACCAAUAUCAAGGGAGAAACAAGCCAUGAAUGUCUGUCACAACUUCUUUGCAUCUUUACUUUCCUUACAUCUGAAGAGUGUGUUACAUAUAUCAUUAUUAAAAAUAAUUUUAAUAAAUUGUUUAAGCAUGUACAAUAAAUAAAGCAUGUAAAUGAGCAUGUAAAAUAAAUAAACAAAAGCAAGUAAAAUAAAUAAAUAAACAAAAUGUAUUGAACCUAAUAGGCUACUAUGUGUGGUGAGUCUGUGUGAUAGUUGCUGAGGAUAAAUGUUUUUAUAUUGGAUUAUUAAAUUACAGAAUACAUUUAUAGGUUUCUCAUCAGCAGGCACUGUCUUCACCUUAGUAAAUUUGGUAACUUUGGUAAGUCCUGUAAAUAAUUGUAAAUUGUUCUGAUUGAGGGCAAAUGGAAAGUGUUAUAAUGUAUUAUUGCUAUUUUAGUGCAUCAUUUUCAUUAUUAUGGCCAUAAAUAAGGCCAAUUAGAAGCUGGUGGGUAGUAAGCGGCAAAAGGGUGGCCCUUUAUCUGGAGCCGCUUCUGAGCCGCCGCUGGACAGCCAGAGAACUGAUGAGCAAAACUCCAGCGGGCCACUGGUGGUUACCGCCGUUGGACCGCCAACUCUGCCGCUGGUUUGUAACAGUAACUUUAGCAUUGCCCAUUAAAUGAUUGCAAAAUAUUUAUUGAGGUGAGUUUAACAAGUGUAAUUUCAUUGGCAUAUAAUUCAGGCCUAUAGUAGAUGGCUAAAUGGCUACAGUAGAAGGAUACACGAAAAGCCCAAACUACCAAAAUCUUCAUAUUUUAUUACCACAGUUUCUAUCUAUAGGCCUCUCUUAUUUGGUAUACUGACUAGACAUUAUUGAACAAACAUAGGCUAUUCAUCUGUAUUUCAGUAUCUCAGUAGCCUAGGUUAAAGUAUUUUUUAGAUACCUCCCUGAAAUUACUUUUUGCAGGUUGUGUUCUAUAUCUGUCUUCUAUACGU